rnacentral:lncRNA from 1 species
AUGUCCUCAUGCUCCACUUCUCAACAGUUCAAGGAAAGUAACUCAGCCAUGACACCUCCAAGCCAUCUAGGACAUUCCCUAUACAUCUGCCCACAGGAGCAACCACAUGAGUCAAGGAAGUCACAUGUUGGCCAUGUACCAAGACCAACCAAGCAUUUUCAACGUGCCCGCUCCCACUGGCACCAGGCACCACACAGGCCUGGGGAUGCAAAGGUCCAUCAGUCCCCAAGGGGUCCCCCCAAGGUCCUCUUCCAGCACCUUCAGCCUGUCUCCUACAGCCUCAGCCAUGCCUGCAAAGACCCCAGCAACUUCAUCCCGUGCAGAAUGGGGCCACUGUGAGACCAAGGACUUACAUGCUCAAGCUUGGGAAGAUUCUGGGAUCUUCUGGCUUCAUGAAAAAUCAUGCUUUACAGAUAAGGAGACCAGUCCUAAUAGAAAUCAGGUGAGAGCUGAAAUAAGCCUAUGGGAUGCUUCACUUCUGUGA